UUGCGUCCUUUACCUGAAUAUCGUGACCGAAUCGAGUGUCGUCGAUUUGAAUCGUGUCUUGCGAACCAUCGUCGAACAAAAGGUGAUGGCUGGUCGUGGUUCAUCAGCGUUUGUUUUGAAACUGAUGGGUACCACAAGGCAUGAAGGAGGUGACUUGCAGCAGCAAGGCGCUGCAAGCCUUCGCAGCAACUGGCUAGCCAGUGCUGCUCUGUUCUGAACUGCACUGCGUGUCAUGCGGAGGUUUUGUGCAAGCUCUCUGGGCGGCGACGCUAGCCACGGAGCUGGCCUCCCUCCCUUCCAUCAGCUGCGAGAUACUACAAGCACUGGGCUACAGCUGCAGCUAGCCCAUGGGUACCGUUCUGCGUCCUGUACUGCAUCUAGUUCGAAAGGCCAUGUGAAAGGCAGGUGUGGUCUUUAUGGGCUCUGUCACUAUGUGCAUUUUCUGCAGCUUUUUCGGGGCAACUUCAUAUUAAGAUUCAAUACGGACUCGAGUGAGAGGGGGGCAUUCUGAGAAAGCCAGCCUCUU
rnacentral:misc_RNA from 1 species